ACCUGGGUAACUCAGCUGGUAAAGGAUUUGCCUGCAAUGCAGGAGACCCUGGUUCGAUUCCUGGGUCAGGAA
rfam:TPA: Bos taurus chromosome 7, whole genome shotgun sequence.